rnacentral:rRNA from 1 species
GACGAACGCUGGCGGCGUGCCUAAUACAUGCAAGUCGAGCGAAGUUUUUCUGGUGCUUGCACUAGAAAAACUGAGCGGCGAACGGGUGAGUAACACGUAAAGAACCUGCCUCAUAGACUGGGACAACUAUUGGAAACGAUAGCUAAUACCGGAUAAUAGUAUUUCUCGCAUGAGAGAUAUUGAAAAGUUGGUUAUGCUAACACGAUGAGAUGGCUUUGCGGUGCAUUAGCUAGGUGGUGGGGUAAAGGUGCACCGAGGCGACGAUGUAUAGUCGACCUGAGUGGUGGAUCGCCCACACUGGGACUGGAACACGGCCCAGACUCCUACGAGAGGCAGCAGUAGGGAAUCUUCCGCAAUAGUCGAAAACCUGACGGAGCAACGCCGCGUGAGUGAAGAAGGAUUUCGGUUCGUAAUGCUCUGUUGUUAGGGAAGAAUGGAUAUGUCGUAACUAUACAUGUGAGAGACGGUACCUAGUCAGAAAGCCACGGCUAACUACGUG